UUCAAUUUUAAAAUGUAAUUAAAAAAGUAUAAAAGUAAUGUUCUCUGUUUUCAAGAACACCUAUUCCCUACGUAGUGCCCUACUUUUGGGUCCUGGUCAACAGUAGGGCACUAAAUAGGGAACAGGGCGGCAUUCAGGACACUGUCAAGGAAACAUUCUUCUGAGGGGAAAAACAAUGAUAAAGCACGUUUUAUUUUUAGAUUCGAUGUUGAAAGAUCUGGUCAGGAUAUUUAUAGUACCAAUGGUACAUGGGAGGAUGGGUGUGUGUGUGUGUGUGUGUAUGUGUGUGUGUGUGUGUGUGUGUGUGUGUGUGUGUGUGUGUGUGUGUGUGUGUGUGUGUGUGUGUGUGUGUGUGUAUGUGUGUGUGUGUGUGUAUGUGUGUGUGUGUGUGUGUGUGUGUAUGUGUGUGUGUGUGUGUGUGUGUGUGUGUGUGUAUGAGAAUGGGUGUGUGACAGAUAGAUCGAGAGAGAGAGGUUUUUUCUCUUCAAUUCACAUUUAUGACAGGUUAGUUAGUGGUUAGUUAGUGGUUAGUUAGUGGUUAGUUAGGGGUUAGUUAGUGGUUAGUUAGUGGUUAGUUAGUGGUUAGUUAGUGGUUAGUUAGGGGUUAGUUAGUGGUUAGUUAGGGGUUAGUUAGUGGUUAGUUAGUGGUUAGUUAGGGGUUAGUUAGUGGUUAGUUAAGGGUUAGUUAGUGGUCAGUUAGUGGUUAGUUAGGGGUUAGUUAGUGGUUAGUUAGGGGUUAGUUAGUGGUUAGUUAGGGGUUAGUUAGUGGUCAGUUAGUGUUCAGUUAGGGGUUAGUUAGUGGUUAGUUAGUGGUUAGUUAGGGGUUAGUUAGUGGUUAGUUAGUGGUUAGUUAGGGGUUAGUUAGUGGUUAGUUAGGGGUUAGUUAGUGGUUAGUUAGGGGUUAGUUAGGGGUUAGUUAGUGGUUAGUUAGUGGUUAGUUAGGGGUUAGUUAGUGGUUAGUUAGUGGUUAGUUAGGGGUUAGUUAGUGGUUAGUUAGUGGUUAGUUAGGGGUUAGUUAGUGGUUUAAUGACAUGGCUCCAUUGUUCUCCGCUGACCUUAAAUAAAACACCUGACAGGUUAGUUAGUGGUUAGUUAGUGGUUAGUUAGUGGUUAGUUAGGGGUUAGUUAGUGGUUAGUUAGUGGUUAGUUAGUGGUUAGUUAGUGGUUAGUUAGGGGUUAGUUAGUGGUUUAAUGACAUGGCUCCAUAGUUCUCCGCUGACCUUAAAUAAAACACCUGACAGGUUAGUUAGUGGUUAGUUAGUGGUUAGUUAGUGGUUAGUUAGGGGUUAGUUAGUGGUUAGUUAGUGGUUAAA
rnacentral:lncRNA from 1 species